rnacentral:rRNA from 1 species
GAUGAACGCUGGCGGCGUGCCUAAUACAUGCAAGUCGAGCGAACAGACGAGGAGCUUGCUCCUCUGACGUUAGCGGCGGACGGGUGAGUAACACGUGGAUAACCUACCUAUAAGACUGGGAUAACUUCGGGAAACCGGAGCUAAUACCGGAUAAUAUAUUGAACCGCAUGGUUCAAUAGUGAAAGACGGUUUUGCUGUCACUUAUAGAUGGAUCCGCGCCGCAUUAGCUAGUUGGUAAGGUAACGGCUUACCAAGGCAACGAUGCGUAGCCGACCUGAGAGAGUGAUAGGCCAAACUGGAACUGAGACACGGUCCAGACUCCUACGGGAGGCAGCAGUAGGGAAUUUGGAGCAAUGGGCGAAAGCCUGACGGAGCAACGCGGCGUGAGUGAUGAAGGUCUUCGGUUCGUAAAACUCUGUUAUUAGGGAAGAACAAAUGUGUAAGUAACUAUGCACGUCUUGACGGUACCUAAUCAGAAAGCCACGGCUAACUAUGU